rnacentral:lncRNA from 1 species
GAGGUCCUGGAAGGUCACAGGGUGGGUGAAAAUGGGUUAGAAAGGUCCUGGAAGGUCAAAGAAUGGGUCAAAAUGGGUGAGCAAAGUUCUGGAAGGUCACAGAAUGGGUCGAAAUCGGGUUGGGAAGGUCCUGGAAGGUCAUAGGAUGGGUUGAACAGGGUUGGGAAGGUCCUGGAAGGUUAAAGAAUGGGUUGAACCGGGUUGAGAAGGUCCUGGAAGGUCACAGAAUGGGUCAGAUUGGGUUGGAAAAGUCCUGGGAGGUCACAGAAUGGAUCGAACCUGGUUGGGAAGGUCCUGGAAGGUCACAGAAUGGGUCAGAAUGGGUUUGCAAAGUCCUAGAAGGUGACAGAAUGGGUGGAAUUGAGUUGGGAAGGUCCUGGAAGAUCACAGAAUGGGUCGGAUUGGGUUGGAAAGGUCCUGGAAGAUCACAGAAUGGCACGGUGGAUCCAUUUCCCCCCCCCAGGGCGGCUGCUGAAGUGCCUGAAGGGGGUGGGGGGCAGCGUGCGGGGGCUGCAGUGUCACCCCUCGCUGCCCCUCGUCGCCUCCUGCGGCCUCGAUCGCUUCCUGCGCCUCCACAGCCUCCACGACAAACGGCUGCUGCACAAGGUGUACCUGAAGUCACGCUUGAACUGCCUUCUGUUGAGCAGCUGCCAGGACCUGGAGGUGAGAAAGUGGGGGGAGGGAGUAAGGGGGGGGUCCUCGGCGUCCACCGAAAUGGAGUGACCCCAAAUCAGCCCGAAUUUAUCCCAAGUCAUCGCCCCAAAUCGGCUCGUGUCACUCCAGUUGUCUUGGAAGGGUCCUUGAAGGUCAUAGGGUGGGUUGGGUUGAGUUGGAAAGGUCCUUGAAGGUUGCAGAGCCAUGGAAUUAUAGGGGGGGGUGGGUUGGGAGGGUCCUUGAAGGUCAUAGGAUGGGUUGGGUUGGCUUGGAAGAGUCCUUGAAGGUUGGAGGAAGGGUUGGGUUGGCUUGAAAGGGUCCUUGGAGGUGAAAGAGCCAUGGAAGAGGAAUAAAAAGGUCCUUGAAGGGCGUAGGAAGGGUUGG